UACAGAGGGUGCGAGCGUUGUCCGGAAUCACUGGGCGUAAAGGGCGCGUAGGUGGCUGUGUAAGUCGGGGGUGAAAUGCUGCGGCUCAACCGCAGCGCUGCCUCCGAGACUGCACGGCUUGAGCACGGUAGAGGCCGAUGGAAUUCCCGGUGUAGCGGUGGAAUGCGUAGAGAUCGGGAAGAACACCGAUGGCGAAGGCAGUCGGCUGGGCCGUUGCUGACACUGAGGCGCGACAGCGUGGGGAGCAAACAGGAUUAGAAACCCCCGUAGUCC
rnacentral:rRNA from 1 species